rnacentral:rRNA from 1 species
UACGUAGGGUGCAAGCGUUAAUCGGAAUUACUGGGCGUAAAGCGUGCGCAGGCGGUUAUGUAAGACAGUUGUGAAAUCCCCGGGCUUAACCUGGGAACUGCAUUUGUGACUGGCGGGCUAGAGUAUGGCAGAGGGGGGUAGAAUUCCACGUGUAGCAGCGAAAUGCGUAGAGAUGUGGAGGAAUACCGAUGGCGAAGGCAGCCCCCUGGGCCAAUACUGACGCUCAUGCACGAAAGCGUGGGGAGCAAACAGG